UGAGAGGGCCGCUUCCUGCUUUCUCCUCUCCCUCCUUUCCUCCUUCCGCCCUCCAUUCCUCUGUCCUCCUUCCUUCUUUCCCUCCCUCCCUUCUUCCUUUCUUCCUUCUUCUACCGUGAAUGAAGAACUCCACUAGGCUUUGAAGUUGCGGAAAACGAGUGCUUCAAGUUCACCAGUCUGUUGGUGAAGAGCAAGGAUAGGAGAGGACAAAUUAUUCAACAUAGAAUAAAGUCAGCACCAGCUAUCUACCCUCUAAAAGUCGAAUUUACCUGUGAGAGGAGAGAACAUCAAGGGCUGCAAUAUGCUGAGCUUUCCAAGAAAACUGCUUUGAAGGGAACAGCUUUUGCUUGGAUGGAUGGAGGCCUGGCCUCAAGUUGUAAAUUGCCUGAAAGAUGCUUCCUGUUGUCAUUCUCUGUGGUUGUGCUUUUGCUUCUCUUUAGGGUUAAGAACAGCUGUUCACUAACCCACCCACAUAUUUGGAAAAACA